rnacentral:misc_RNA from 1 species
AACAAGGUUUCCGUAGGUGAACCUGCGGAAGGAUCAUUACAGUAUGUUUUCUCGCCAGCGCUUAACUGCGCGGCUUGAAUCCUUCUUACACACUGUGUUUUUGUUUUUUUGCAAGACAUUUCUUUGGUUUGGCGGCAACGUCGGGCCAGAGAGCAGUAUUAAACUUCAAAUUUAUUUUGAAACUUUUUUUAAAUUUAUGUUGUCAAUUUGUUUGAUUAAAUUCAAAAAUAAUCUUCAAAACUUUCAACAACGGAUCUCUUGGUUCUCGCAUCGAUGAAGAACGCAGCGAAAUGCGAUAAGUAAUAUGAAUUGCAGAUUUUCGUGAAUCAUCGAAUCUUUGAACGCACAUUGCGCCCUUUGGUAUUCCAGAGGGCAUGCCUGUUUGAGCGUCAUUUCUCUCUCAAACCGCAAGGUUUGGUAUUGAGUGAUACUCUUAGUCAGACUAGGCGUUUGCUUGAAAUGGAACGGCAUGAGUGCGCUAGAUAGUGCAAACUGGUUAUUCAAUGUAUUAGGUUUAUCCAACUCGUUGAAACAGCUAGGGCGUAAAUUUCUGGUGCGACGGCUCGGCCUAACAACAACAAACAAGUUUGACCUCAAAUCAGGUAGGAUUACCCGCUGAACUUAAGCAUAUC